rnacentral:misc_RNA from 1 species
CACAGCAGCAGUGACGCC